CGGCCUGAUAGCCCAUGACUCUCCGGUUCAUAACACAAAAUCACACUUUUCAUCAAGAAGCUUGUAUUCUCCAGAUAAUUCAAGAAUCCACACAGCAAAUCCAGCACAGACUGUUUGCUUCCCAACACCCAGACACAUGUGCCUGCAAAUUCCUGAUGUUACGAAGACCUGCCCCGGAGAGGGGAGGCAUCGCCCCAGGCAACCCCAGUAUGCUGACAACCCACACCCCAGACAACUCCAGGAGACUGACAACCCACACCCCAGCUGACCCCGCAUCCUGGCUGUGAUGGGGCUGCCAUCCACACCGCCUGCUCCAAGGGCUCUGCUGCUCCGGGUUGGACCUGCACGGUUCUGGGUCACUGCAGGACUUGGGACAAGUGACUCAGUUCCCCAUUGAGCAGGACAGCAUCCCAGCCGCCCUGGGUUACUGUGAUAUCAGGAGUCAGUGGCCAACGUUUCCUGAGCCCUCUUUCUGAGGCCAGACGCCAGCAUGGAGGCUGCAGCGAGUCCCUUCCCUCAUCUGCACGAGGCUUGGGGACCCCAUGGCCACCUGGCCCAGGUGCCAGCAAAGACAAUCGCCGGAUGUCUGAGUACCCCCUCUCCUUCCAAAACAAACAGAAAACCCGUCCACAGCAUCUGUCGACCAAAAGAAGAACCGCCAGAGUCCAGGGAAGCAGCUUGCCGGGAACCUGCCAGGUUUGCAUCGAAUUCCCCGAGUUCCGGAAACCCCGUCC
rnacentral:lncRNA from 10 species